rnacentral:rRNA from 1 species
AGGGCGGCGAGCCAGCGAUGGGGAGCGAAUCUCAGAAAGUACGUCUAAGUCCGGAUUGGAGUCUGCAACUCGACUCCAUGAAGUCGGAAUCGCUAGUAAUCGCAAAUCAGAAUGUUGCGGUGAAUACGUUCCCGGGCCUUGUACACACCGCCCGUCACACCAUGGGAGUGGGUUGUACCAGAAGUAGAUAGCUUAACCGAAAGGGGGGCGUUUACCACGGUAUGAUUCAUGACUGGGGUGAAGUCGUAACAAGGUAACCGUAGGGGAACCUGCGGUUGGAUCACCUCCUUA